UUGUUAACAUUUCAGACACUGAUAGAGAGUUUUCUGCUGCCAUGUUUCUAAAAUUCUUCACAGAAACUUUCCCUCCUCAGAUCCAGUGUCUCCAGUUGAACUGACAGUGAUCUCAGUGGACUCCAGAAACUCAGAGUGUGACCUCACUGUGACCUGCAGAACACAGGACUCUCACAUUAACAGCACUUUUAGAUGUGACAACCAAACCUGCAGUCAGGAGGGAGGAGAGCAAUCAGAGGUCACAACCUCUGGUGCUUCUCUCCACGUCUACCUGUCGAAUGGCUCUAUCAUCUGUAACCAUAGCAACCAUGUCAGCAGCACCAAGGACAUUGAAAUAAUUGAACAUGUUUGCCUCCAACCUGAUGAUCCUAAACAACAUGCCAGCAAGGUCACCGUGACUGCUGUUGCUGUCCCAAUUGUCAUUUUCGUCUCUGCUGUUCUGUCAGGCCUGUUUUGUUAUUAUCGAAAGCUAGGAAUCUAUAAAGGAGAGAGC